AGAUCUCACCAGUGCAUGCCAGCCUGGGCAACAGAGCAAGACCCCAUCUCAAAAAAAAAAGUGGGGGGCUUCAUAAAUUCAAAGUCUCCUGAAGAAGUAAGGGUGGUUAUAUUAUUUACGCUGAGGCUUGGGAGUUAGGUUUCUUAGUUAUGGUUUCAAUUUCACCUUUCAUUUACCAUAUAACCCCAGGCAAGUCUUUUAAUUAUUAUUUAUUUCAGAUUCUUCAUAAGAAAAAAAGACAUAUCAUUUUCUUCACAUUCUUAAAGCUUUACUGAAUGAGAACAUUCCUAUUUUACGUUUCAGGAAACUCCAGUAUGAUUAUGAAAGCCCUCAAGUGAGACCAGCUCAGGUAAAGAGGAUUAUGCUCAACAAGCAAGAACAAACCUUCACCUUUCUACAAUCCUUAGUACAGCAUUAUACAGUCUAUUGCCUGCCAUCUCUGAUUUCCUAUAGUGGGAACAACUUCAUUAAAAAAAAAAAAAAAAAAAA
rnacentral:lncRNA from 1 species